AACGAACGCUGGCGGCAUGCCUAACACAUGCAAGUCGAACGAGACCUUCGGGUCUAGUGGCGCACGGGUGCGUAACACGUGGGAAUCUGCCCUUUGCUUCGGAAUAACAGUUAGAAAUGACUGCUAAUACCGGAUGAUGUCGAAAGACCAAAGAUUUAUCGGCAAAGGAUGAGCCCGCGUGGGAUUAGGUAGUUGGUGGGGUAAAGGCCUACCAAGCCGACGAUCCUUAGCUGGUCUGAGAGGAUGAUCAGCCACACUGGGACUGAGACACGGCCCAGACUCCUACGGGAGGCAGCAGGGGGGAAUAUUGGACAAUGGGCGAAAGCCUGAUCCAGCAAUGCCGCGUGAGUGAUGAAGGCCUUAGGGUUGUAAAGCUCUUUUACCAGGGAUGAUAAUGACAGUACCUGGAGAAUAAGCUCCGGCUAACUCCGUGCCAGCAGCGGCCGUAACAC
rnacentral:rRNA from 1 species